rnacentral:rRNA from 1 species
UCCGUGCCAGCAGCCGCGGUAAUACGGAGGGGGCUAGCGUUGUUCGGAAUUACUGGGCGUAAAGCGCACGUAGGCGGCUUGGUAAGUUAGAGGUGAAAGCCCGGGGCUCAACCCCGGAAUUGCCUUUAAGACUGCCGAGCUAGCAGGUGAGAGAGGUGAGUGGAAUUCCGAGUGUAGAGGUGAAAUUCGUAGAUAUUCGGAAGAACACCAGUGGCGAAGGCGGCUCACUG